UCUCGUUAAUUGUUUUUUCUUUCGAUCUCGCCUGCGAUUGCUUCGCACUGGAAGGACGCCGUAGAACCUACAAACGGCCCUAGCCUAGUUGAGUCACCUGUUGAAUGCUACUCAUCGUCAGAGCAUCUCCACCAGCUCACCUAAAACCAGUUAUAGCAAUAGGAGAGAAGAAAUUGGUACAUUUUAUUGCCUCUUCUCCACCAACUUACCUAUCCGUUGUUCCCUAUUUUCCUUUCUACCUUACACAAACACAUGGGAGUGGACCUACUCGUCAUUGAGACAAAAAAUCCUCACUGCCGCCUUCUUCCUCCCAAUAACCUGCUACUGCCGACUUCAUGCGCCACCGUUGAUGCCUCCGAGCCUGGCUGUCGCGUCGCCCACCUCCCAUGUGCUAUGUCGCCGCCCAUGCCUGUGGUGCCGCAUGCCCGUGGUUGCCUCCUGCUGUGAUGGGGAGACCGCGGCGAAGCGUCAUAGGAGCUCGGCAGGGUGGCGUACGAGAUCCAGGGGCGGUAGCGGAGCUCCAUGAGGCUCGCUGGCGACGGAGUUGAUCGGAUUUUGGGUGGCGGCAGCAGUAAGGGAGAGGGUCUGGGAGGCUAGGCAAGGGGCAGGAGGGGCGGCGAGGCGCCGGCGGCGGCCGGAUUUUGGGCCAGCCGCAUUAGGACGACAAGAUGAGGAGAAGUCCCGGAGGUGGUUGUUGGGGGCACAAAAUAGAAUUAUCUUUCUAGGUUGCCUGACUGGAACUUGGAACAAGAGGAUUGAAUUUCACACAUCUUACCUAUUGUUCGAUAUUAAACCCCGAGUUACCUUUGUCGGGAAAGCUUCUACUUUGCUACAUCACUCUGCGCUCGGGAGUCCCAACAGUUGGUGCACGAUCAGAUUGGUGCCAUCACAGAGGCACAUAAAGACGUUACUUUAUACCGAUGUUAUCUUUUUUGGAGUAAUUUAAUCACCGUUGGAGAGGUGAGGGUACCACAAUAGGUUUCUAGAACAACCCUUAAAUGGCUCACCUUUUUCUCCUUGAGCCUUCCCAAAAAAUGUAGAUCAAUCACUUGUGGUAGAUCUUGAUGGGUUGAUCUCUGAACCUUUAUAGACUUCUCAGGAACUAAUGCCUGCCUUUGGAUGCUCCCAGAUGGACUCCAAUCGUCUAAGAGUCGCCACAACUCCCAGAAUAACAAGUGCUCACUUGAUGAACUCAAAGGGGGAACAAAACCCUUCGGUGGAAGUUUUGAUAUAGGGCUCUUCUCAAUUUUUCCUUAAAGGAUGGGUUAGAUCCGAGAAAAGGAGGAGGAGCCGUUUUGAGCCUUAAGCUUGAGUUUAAUGGAGUUGGAGAGAGAGUAUAGCACAAUUCAAGUCGGAUGGAAGAGACAAUCCUUGGGAAAGAAAGGUGAAACCUUUUAUACGACCCACUCAAAAUAUGCCCGUUGGGAAACUCUUCAACAGCUGGGAGGGUCACCCAAACCUUUCGAAAUAACUUGCCUGAUUCAAGGAUCACCUUCAAGCCAGGAUCCGGCCGGGACUCACCCGGAUCUCAGCCCGAGGGUUGCCCGGACCCUCCAAUCUGGAUCAGCCUCCAGAUAGAUACCUAGGCUAGUCUAGAGAUUCAGGACUCGCCCAGAGCAUAUCUCCAAAGCAUUGCCAGAUUACGUGGCAGCCUAGAAGGUCACUCGACCGUGGAAAAACCUUGGAAUAGAUUAUAAAAAAGAAAAGAAAAAUCUCCAAACCUCUGCAUACUCAGAUGCACUCAACCAUUUUUAUUAAAAAGAUGCUAGGCAUCGAACACAUCGGCUUACGGAAGUUAAAAAAAAUCAGAGGCAAUCUUCUUUAGGCUGGCAUAAUGACAUAUAUCUUCUCCAUCUACCACAAACCAAUUGCCAGUGACCAAAUCAAGAAUUCUAAUGAGUUGUGAUCUAACAUGCAUGUUUUCCUUGGAAUGACAGUAUCACAACUAAGCUACAAAUACCAUGGAUUAGUGCACAAAACAUGCAUAUAAGAACUUUUUUUAAAGGAAGGCAAAGCAUCAAAUAUGAACGCCUUACAGAAAGAAAGAAAAAAGGUGCGGAUGACAUCUUCAUUACAGGGUGUUUGUCUGUUUCAUUAGGCUU
rnacentral:lncRNA from 1 species